UCUCCAAGUUGGCCUGGGAGAGGCUUGGCGUCCCUGGGAAUGAGCUGGAGGAAGUUGAGGGGGGCAGGAUCACCUGGGAAUCUUUGCUCUCACAAGUACUACCGCGAUCCUAUCUGGAUUAAGCGGUUAACUAUGAUGAUGAUGAUGAUGAUAAUUAAACCAAAAGAAUUUUCACUGAUAUAUUCCUUUUUUUCCUUUUUCACUUUCAUUGUCCUUUAUCCACUGUUGCGGUCGUUUUACUGUUGUAAUUAUCUUUUAUCUCCUGCCAUUGUCUUUUUCUAACACAUUGUUGUUCAGCUGCUGUUGUUGUCUUUUUUAGAGUCAUUGUCCUUUUUUCGCCAUCGCUGUUCUAUUUGCAUCUUCAUUGUCCCUUUUCUAUUGCUCUUGUCCUUCUUCCAUGGCUAUUGUCCAUCUUCCACUGCCCUUAUUCAUUUUAUAUUGUUGUUGUCCUUCGUCAGUUGUCACUGUUCUACUUCCAGUAGUCUGUGGUCACAUGGAAAGGUGUUUUUUGUUGCUGUUGUCUUUGUUGGUGUUUUUAUGCACUCUCCUCAUCAGCCCUUCAUAACCUGAAAUAUAAACCAAAAGACCAUGCAUUAGACUCUCAAGCUUAGAAAUCUGGCAAUUUUUAAUCUUAAUCAUUAUUUCCAGUUUACUUACAGCAUGUAUGCUUCCUCAAUUGUCAUAUUUUAGGUUUACGGCUUCUUCUUCUAACCUCCCUGGAUAACCUAUUCCUAGUUCUGGAUGGUGAGCUGAAACCACUUAUGCCGCAUGAACUGCUGCAAACUAGGCCUUGAGGAAGGGAUCUGCUCCAAGCUCCAGCCAAUCAGAUUACAGCAUUCUGUGCAGGUUGACGGAAUUGGAUGGCAGAGAGAUGCUUAACCACGAACUUUCAGAUUGUAAAGACAGGCCAUCCUUGAAGUUCCAAAUCCCUUUGUCCACGGAGGGAAGAAAUCCACAAACCAUCCUGAACAAUAGGACACCAAGGGACCACACUGUUGCAGUGCUGGUUGUGCUCAUCCACUGUGGACAAACUCAAGAAAAGCCCAAACUGAGGGUGGAGCCUCAGAGCCCAGACACAGUUACUCUGAGCUGUGAGCUGCCACAGUCUACUGGAUGGACGAUUAUAUGGCAGAAAAACUCUGUUGUUUUACAACAUGAUCUGACCACGAUCACUGAAACACUGCCUAAAGAAG